rnacentral:rRNA from 1 species
GACGAACGCUGGCGGCGUGCCUAAUACAUGCAAGUAGAACGCUGAAGGAGGAGCUUGCUUCUCUGGAUGAGUUGCGAACGGGUGAGUAACGCGUAGGUAACCUGCCUUGUAGCGUGGGAUAACUAUUGGAAACUAUAGCUAAUACCGCAUAAGAGUAGAUGUUGCAUGACAUUGGCUUAAAAGGUUCAAUUGCAUCACUACCAGAUGGACCUGCGUUGUAUUUGCUAGUUGGUGUGGUAACGGCUCCCCUAGGCGACUAGACGUAGCCGCACUGAGACGGGGGGCGGCCACACUGGGAUGGAGACCGGGCACAGAGUGCUAGGGGAGCGGCCAGUAGGCAAUCUUCGGCAAUGGGCGGAAGUUAGAGCGCGAAAGGCGGAGUGAGUGAAGAAGGACUUCGGAUCGUAAAGCUCUGCUGUAAGAGAAGAACGCGUGUGCGCGUGGAACGAUCAGACUGUGACGGUAUCUUACAAGAAAGCGCCGGCUAACUACGUG